rnacentral:tRNA from 1 species
GAUCCUGUCGUCUAAUCGGCGAGGACACCCGUCUUUCAUGCGGGCAAUGCGGGUUCAAAUCCCGCCAGGGUUGCCA